GACGAACGCUGGCGGCGUGCUUAACACAUGCAAGUCGAGCGAGCGGCGGACGGGUGAGUAAUGUAUGGGGACUGCCCGAUCGAGGGGGAUAACUACUGGAAACGGUGGCUAAUACCGCAUACUAGCGGAUAACCCAUAUGGGAUUGGCCAUGAGGUGGGGUAAAGGGUCACCUAGGCGCCGAUCCCUAGCUGGUCUGAGAGGAUGAUCGGCCACACUGGGACUGAGACACGGCCCAGACUCUUACGGAGGCAGCAGUGGGGAACAUUGCACAAUGGGCGCAAGCCUGAUGCAGCCAUGCCGCGUGUAUGAAGAAGGCCUUAGGGUUGUAAAGUACUUUCAGCGGGGAGGCGUUACCCGCAGAAGAAGCACCGGCUAACUCCUUGCCAGCAGCCGCGGUAAUAC
rnacentral:rRNA from 1 species